rnacentral:rRNA from 1 species
UACGAGAGGCCCAAACGUUAUUCGGAUUUACUGGGCUUAAAGAGUUCGUAGGCGGCGCGGUAAGUCGGGUGUGAAAUCUCGGAGCUUAACUCCGAAACUGCAUUCGAUACUGCCGUGCUUGAGGACUGGAGAGGAGACUGGAAUUUACGGUGUAGCGGUGAAAUGCGUAGAUAUCGUAAGGAAGACCAGUGGCGAAGGCGGGUCUCUGGACAGUUCCUGACGCUGAGGCACGAAGGCCAGGGGAGCAAACGGG